rnacentral:rRNA from 1 species
AUUGAACGCUGGCGGCAUGCUUUACACAUGCAAGUCGAACGGUAACAGCACUUCUGUGGCUGACGAGUGGCGCACGGGUGAGUAAUACAUCGGAACGUGCCUAGUAGUGGGGGAUAACUACUCGAAAGAGUAGCUAAUACCGCAUGAGAUCUAAGGAUGAAAGCAGGGGACCUUCGGGCCUUGCGCUACUAGUGCGGCUGAUGGCAGAUUAGGUAGUUGGUGGGAUAAAAGCUUACCAAGCCGACGAUCUGUAGCUGGUCUGAGAGGACGACCAGCCACACUGGGACUGAGACACGGCCCAGACUCCUACGGGAGGCAGCAGUGGGGAAUGUUGGACAAUGGGCGCAAGCCUGAUCCAGCAAUGCCGCGUGCAGGAUGAAGGCCUUCGGGUUGUAAACUGCUUUUGUACGGAACGAAAAGCCCUCUUCUAAUACAGGAGGGUCAUGACGGUACCGGAAGAAUAAGCACCGGCUAACUACGUG